CCUGCACAACUUUGGCCUGAGUAAGAAGUCACUGGAGCAGUGAGAGCCGCCUGCCUGUGUGCUGCUUUGCCUCCCAGAAUGGUGCUGAACGCAGUCCCCAUGCUCCUGUGCAUCCCUGAGGUGUCUGAGAAGGCCUUGCCUGCACAGAAAGCCUUCUUGGAUCUGUUGGAUUAGCUGUUGACCAAGCACAGGACAACUUGGGACCCAGCACAGCCACCUGGAGACCUGACUGAAGCUUUGCUGCAUGAAUUGGAGAAGGU
rnacentral:lncRNA from 1 species